rnacentral:lncRNA from 1 species
AUGUACGGCUCCACUUCAGAUAGGUUGGUCAACACAUAUAGCAUGAUAGAGCGCCACUCUUCAUGAUUAAGGGUCUUGCGGGUCGCACCACUUGCACUUCCGAGUUGCCCUCGGAAAAUGCUAAGGCUUAAUUCAUCUUCGCUAGCAUUGUAACGAGGAGGUGGAUUAUGCACACUAGGAAGGUUCUCAGCGUAGUAUUUCGAUGUGAAGUUUGACACCUCCUCCAGAAUGUAUGCCUCUGCAAUGGAUGCUUCAAUUUUGCACUUAUUCUUACAUUUAG